rnacentral:rRNA from 1 species
GAGUCUGGUAAUUGGAAUGAGUACAAUCUAAAUCCCUUAACGAGNAUNCAUUGGAGGGCAAGUCUGGUGCCAGCAGCCGCGNNAAUUCCAGCUCCAAUAANGUAUAUUUAAGUUGUUGCAGUUAAAAAGCUCGUAGUUGGACUUUGGGACGGGCCGACCGGUCUACCUCUCGGUGUGAACCGGCCGUCUCGUCCUUCGGCCGGCGAUGCGUUCCUGGUCUUAAUUGGCCGGGCUCGCUCCGGNGCUGUUACUUU